CAGUAGCCGCGGGAAUACGAAGGGGGCUAGCGUUGCUCGGAAUUACUGGGCGUAAAGGGCGCGUAGGCGGACAGUUCAGUCGGGGGUGAAAGCCCGGGGCUCAACCUCGGAAUUGCCUUCGAUACUGGCUGUCUUGAGUAUGAGAGAGGUGUGAGGAACUCCGAGUGUAGAGGUGAAAUUCGUAGAUAUUCGGAAGAACACCAGUGGCGAAGGCGACACGCUGGCUCAUUACUGACGCUGAGGCGCGAAAGCGUGGGGAGCAAACAGGAUUAGAUACCCCGGUAGUCCCUGUCUCUUAUAC
rnacentral:rRNA from 1 species